UACGUAGGGGGCGAGCGUUGUCCGGAAUCAUUGGGCGUAAAGCGCGUGUCGGCGGCCCGGUAAGUCCGCUGUGAAAGUCCAGGGCUCAACCUCGAGACGUCGGUGGAAACCGUUUGGCUAGAGUCCGGAAGAGGAGAGUGGAAUUCCCGGUGUAGCGGUGAAAUGCGCAGAUAUCGGGAAGAACACCCGUGGCGAAGGCGGCUCUCUGGGACGGUACUGACGCUGAGACGCGAAAGCGUGGGGAGCGAACAGG
rnacentral:rRNA from 1 species